GACUCAACACGGGGAAACUCACCAGGUCCAGACAUAGUAAGGAUUGACAGAUUGAAAGCUCUUUCUAGAUUCUAUGGGUGGUGGUGCAUGGCCGUUCUUAGUUCGUGGAGUGAUUUGUCUGGUUAAUUCCGAUAACGAACGAGACCUUAUUCUGCUAAUUAGACAGGCUAACUCUUUCGGGUUGGUUUAUAUUUAAUAUUUAACUGGCUUCUUAGAGAGACUAUCGGCUUCAAGCCGAAGGAAGUUUUAGGCAAUAACAGGUCUGUGAUGCCCUUAGAUGUUCUAGGCCGCACGCGCGCUACACUGAUGAAGUCAGCGAGUUUAUAACCUUGGCCGGAAGGUCUGGGUAAACUUUUGAAACUUCAUCGUGCUGGGGUUAGAGCAUUGUAAUUAUUGCUCUUCAACGAGGAAUUCCUAGUAAGCGCAAGUCAUCAGCUUGCGUUGAUUACGUCCCUGCCCUUUGUACACACCGCCCGUCGCUACUACCGAUUGAAUGGUUAUAGUGAGCAUAUGGGAUCAGUAGGAUUUGACUGGCAACAGUCAUUUCCUGCAGAGAACUAUGGCAAACUAGGCUAUUUAGAGGAAGUAAAAGUCGUAACAAGGU
rnacentral:rRNA from 1 species